rnacentral:lncRNA from 1 species
CACAGCCCGGCAUCUCACACAGAAGUGGCUUGAUGAGGAUUCUACUGCCUCCACAGCUCCUGCCAUCAUCUUCAUCUGCACCAUAGAUGCUCAGAACCCAGUCUGUGUCGGCAUGUUGCUGACUUCCAAAUCAGAGAUUCAUGAGAGUGUAUUUGGUUGGUAGAACAUAGGUCCCAGACCUACUCCCUGGGAGCUGCAAGGGAUGCUGGGAAAUUCUGCCCUGGAAAAAUAAAACUCACAAUGUGGGAAACAAAGAAAAUGUACAGCAGGGGUUUAACAGAAUGACAGCUAAAGUUUAGACUCCCGUGGUGCAGUUGGCUUUCCCAGGCUCCCGGCGUCCAUGCUGUCUCGGCGCUAUCUCGCAGCCUGACGCCACGCGCCAUCUGCUGGCCUUGAGCUGUAUAGCUCUAGAGUAACUUCAGAGGCCACAAAGGAACAAAGAGCACUCGCCUCCUUCGACUGAGCUCCGACAGGCCCUCCCUCUGCUUCAGGUGUAGGCGUGAACAAGUCCGGACCACUACCUUAACAGCUUUAUACAAUUAUUCCCAAAUCUUCUAAACUGACAGUGAGGGAGAGUAAUUUGAAAGGACUGAUCAACUCAACAUCAUUUGAAGAUUUGCGCCAUAGCUGCAUUUUUCCAAUUUCCUGGCAUCUAUUCUGCUCUCCUGGACUUUUCAAAAACAAUUGUAAGUGGAUGAAUAAAUUUAAUAACUCAUUCCACUGAUAC